rnacentral:rRNA from 1 species
UACGUAGGGUGCAAGCGUUAAUCGGAAUUACUGGGCGUAAAGCGUGCGCAGGCGGUUAUACAAGACAGAUGUGAAAUCCCCGGGCUUAACCUGGGAACUGCAUUUGUGACUGUAUGGCUAGAAUUUGGCAGAGGGGGGUAGAAUUCCACGUGUAGCAGUGAAAUGCGUAGAUAUGUGGAGGAAUACCGAUGGCGAAGGCAGCCCCCUGGGCUAAAAUUGACGCUCAUGCACGAAAGCGUGGGGAGCAAACAGG